UUCUUUUCUCCUGAAAAUCAACAAACAUAGCUCUACGUACGGUAACCAAAAAUAAUAUUUCACACACAAUAGCUUUGCAUAAAAAUAACUUCAACGCAAAAUUCAUAACACGAAGACAACAACAUGACCAUUUGCGAGGAAUAAUUUUCUGGCCAACACCUUAGUGCAAACACCAAUAUUAACAAAAUACAUCAACUACACUAAUCACUUAUUCAGCUACCCACAAAUCAUGCUGGCCCCUUCCCUUUCACAUCCACUUCCGCACUUUCGUUGCCACUCCUUAUUGUCACAUUUAAAGAAAUCUCAAUGUUUCGUUCCUUAGACACCACGUGACAAAGAGACUGGAACAUGCGAGAGAACUGCUGAACAUCGUCAAGUGCUGCAUGAUUAUUCGAGUUCGCAGUAACAUUACUUGACCCACUACUUGAUUCUCCCUCAUCGACCCAUGCCCAAUAUUUACAAUUAGCUCUGCAGCACUCGAACAAUCUUCCCUUGUUCUUUGUCUCCCUCUCGACCUCAAAGCACUUCACAAUUCCACAUUUACACAAGGGGCAUCGCCUUUUGUUUGGGCAAUCCGCAAACAAGUGACCCUUCCCUCUACAGCUAUGACAAAGUCCGAAGUUCUUUCCCGGCAUACUACACACAAACGACACACAGAUUACACUACAUUAAACAACAUUUUUAACAAAAUCCCCUUGCUCAGUGGAAUCAAGAUAUUCACAAAAACCGAAUUUCAAACCAAACAUGAAUGUCAAGAACCAUAUCAAUAAUAACAGUAACAAACUUACACAUUCAACCCACUCUUUACAUGCCACCAGAAGAAAACAAAAGGGCUUCAACAUUAUACACAUUGUCUGAGAUUAUGCCUAUCAAAUACACACUGUCUGAGAUUAUGCCUAAAAUAAAUAUUUCUAACAGUUUACAAGUAGAUUUUAUUCCUAUUGAUUAUUAUUCACACAAAUUACGUACAUUCACCAUCUCCAAACAAUGGAAUGACUCGAGAUUGAAAGGCAUACUAAUGAAGUUCGAAACUUUGCAGCCCAGACUGCCAUAUGUUCAAAACUAGCCUAGAUUAUCAUAUAUUCGAACCUUGUUUGUAUUUGAAAUGGAGCAAGAAACUAUGCAGCCCAGUACGUCGGGUUCUUCGAAGAAGUAGGGCUGACAGUGAGAUUUUUCCUUUUCUUAAAACAUAAAUUACUUCCCCACAGUAAAAAGAAAUGCCCAAAUUUUCUACUUACAUAAUAUUGCUCAAGAUAUCGCCGGAGAAGAAGGCCUCAGGGACGGGCGAUUUUGCCCUAAUCUUGCGGCUAAAUAUUUUUUCCUCACAACCGUGCGCUUAACUUCUGGUGGAAAACAAAAUCAUGGAGAUGACCACAAUAUUUAUCAUCGUCUUCUCAAUAAGGUGGAGCGCAGCUGCAGAUCUCCUCGCAUCAGUUCGUUCGGUAGAGAGGGUUUUCUGCCUUGGGGCAACUGAGAAACUGAAGAAAUGUGAGCAUAAGCGGGUUUCUUCACUUUGGGCCGGUUCAAGACAUGUUACCCAUUAACCCAUUAAUACGUUUUCUUUCGCCACGUCACUGUGUAACCUGGCAGGUAAAGUGGCGUGUACGUGUAGCGGGAUUGUUCUCCAUAACUCAGAUGAAGCUCAAAAUUUACUGUCGUUGAAAACCAGUUGAGUAAUAUCGGUAAGAACUAAAGUACCAGAACAAGCAAUAAGUUUCAUCUAUCACUAUAAUCUAAACUUUGAAAUUUUGCCUUUGUGCCCCAUUCUUUUAAUUGGAAUGAAUUUUUGAAUAGUGUAUUGAUGGGAAGUGUGUGGUUAAAAAAUGAGGAAGAGAUUUGAAUUUACGUGUAAUACUAUUUUAUUAAAA
rnacentral:lncRNA from 1 species